AGGGUAGUGGGGGUGCAAAGGUUGCUGGUGAGGUGCAAACGAGUAUAAAAGAAAAAGUUUAAAAAUUUAAAGAUGGGGGACCAACUUCACACCGGUAUCGGCGGCAUGCGAAAAGUUUUCUGCCAAUGCAAGCUACGAUUAUUCCUAAGAAACAACAUAAAGAGUAUUCCACGUUUCUCCAUUAUUCGACUUAUGCGGAAUUGCCAUCAGAGUGGUGGCCGUCUUAACGAGGCGAGAGGGUUUAUCGGCUGUCACUAUAUCUGUUUCUGUUUGCAGCAAGGUCCAUAUGUUUAUGGUGAUGGGGAUUAACUAAGUGGCUUCUAGAGGCUGAC
rnacentral:lncRNA from 1 species